rnacentral:rRNA from 1 species
AUGGCCGCCUCCGGCAAGCGUUCCUUGGCCGCCGUCGUUCUCUCGGCGAUCGCCUCCUGCGCGGCCGCGCAGACGCCAGGAGGCCCGGGAUCGCACAACAACUCGAUGAGCCUCUCCGACGUCAUGGCCAUCUUGUUCUUCAUGGCCUUCUUCUUCCCCGUCUUCGUCGUCCUCCUCGCGUUCGCCUGCCUCCGCCUGUUCCGUCCGCCGGACGAGCCCCCGGCCGGCGACGACUCGUCGUCGGACCGGUCGCUCCACAAGGAGGGCCUGAACGCCGCGGAGAUCGCGGCGCUGCCGCUGGUGUCGUAUCGCGACGUCAGGCAGCACCGGAUCGGCGCCAGCGGGAUCGACUCGCUGGAGUGCGCGGUCUGCCUCCUCGAGUUCGGCGACGACGACAGCCUCCGCCUCCUGCCGGCGUGCCCGCACGCGUUCCACCCGGAGUGCAUCGGCCUCUGGCUCGCGAAGCACGUCACGUGCCCGCUCUGCCGCGCCAGCGUCCUCGACCCGCCGGUCCUUGACCCCGAGGAGCUGCUGCAGCCUCCGUCGCCAGAGGAGGAAACGCCGGUGCCGCACGAUUCGCCGCGCCGGCUCGCGGAUCACGAUACGGUGGUGGUGCUAAUCGAGGACCCCGGCCGCGACGAGGAGGAGGAUGAGAGGACAAGGAUCCUUGCGAGGAGGAUGCGGUGCGAGGCCGCCGGGCGUCCGGCGCUGCCGCGGUCGAACUCGACGGGGCACGAGCGCGCCGGCGGGACGGAGCACUUCGCGCUGCGGCUGCCGGAGCACGUCCGGCUCGAGAUCCUGAUGUCGCACAGGCUGAGGCACGUGACGAGCGCGGUCGCGUCCGUGCGCGUUAGGGAAGGGAGCGCCCAUGACCCAAGCGCCGGCGGGAAUUCGGUGCGGAGCGCCGUGGCGAGGCUGCUCUCGCUUUUCGCGCCCGGGGACGGGCGGAAGGGAGACGACGAGGAGAAGUCCGGGGGGUCGUCUCGCCGGCGGCGCGAUGACUCUGCGCGGGGAGCAGGAGAAGACAAGCUGAGAAACGAUUGA